rnacentral:rRNA from 1 species
CACGUAGUUAGCCGUGACUUCCUCGCCGGGUACCAUCACUCAGAAAGCUUUCCACUCUUUCUGCCUUUUGUCCCCGGCAACAGAGCUUUACGAUCCGAAGACCUUCCUCGCCCACGCGGCAUUGCUCGUUCAGGGUUCCCCCCAUUGACGAAAAUUCCCUACUGCUGCCUCCCGCAGGAGUCUGGGCCGUGUCUCAGUCCCAGUGUGGCCGUCCGCCCUCUCAGGCCGGCUAUGCAUCGUCGCCUUGGUGAGCCGUUACCUCUCCAACCAGCUAAUGCACCGCAGGUCCAUCUGCAUGCGGGACUCUUGUCCCCUUUACCAAAAGAGAUGCCUCCUCUUUGCUCAUCCGGUAUCAGCUUCCGUUUCCAGAAGUUCUCCCGCUCAUGCAGGCACGGUUCCUACGUGUUACUCACCCGUUCCGCCACUCACUA